CUACCUGGAUAUAUCUUCAAUUCCUGUUAGCUUUGGCGAUUCUUUAGAAUAUACAGAAAAAGUCUAAUAGAAGAAAAAACAUUUGUGAGGAUUUGGAAGGACUCGCUGGCCAAUCAUAUCGCACUGAACGUAUUUUGGCCUAUAGCCUUUUUGGAUCUUUAGUCGAACAAAAAUGAUUCAAGAGAAAGAAAUGUUGGAUGAAAUCGAACUGAGUUUAUGGACCCUAACCGAGUAAAAUGUAUACUACUUGUGUGAACGUUGAGGUCAAAGGAAAGAGUCAUCGCUCGCUGCGUAAAAUUAUCGAAGAAUAUUGUGAAAAUGUUGAUUUAAUUGACCCAACGGAUCAGGGAAUGUCUCGGUUACUCAAACUGAAAUAUCAAAUCAAAAAUGUAAAAGAUGAUGCUAACUGUGUGACCACGAACCCCAGAACGACAGCUCAAAAGCAAAACCCGACGGAGAAUUCAAUGAAGAGGGGGGAGCUGGUUUUCUGAAGAACAGGAUGAAGGCUGAGCCUGUUCCUCAUUGGCUCAUUAUACCACAGCAGAGGGAGACAGUGGAUGUUGCGGAGCCCAAAGUGUCACCGGGUCCUGAAUGUGACAAACCUACGGAAUCACCAGGUCCUGAUUGUGGCAAACCUACAGAAUCACCAGGUCCUGAUUGUGGCAAACCUAAGGAAUCACCAGGUCCUGAUUGUGGCAAACCUACGGAAUCACCAGGUCCUGAUUGUGGCAAACCUAAGGAAUCACCAGGUCCUGAUUGUGGCAAACCUACAGAAUCACCAGGUCCUGAUUGUGGCAAACCUACGGAAUCACCAGGUCCUGAUUGUGGCAAAC
ensembl:lncRNA